rnacentral:rRNA from 1 species
GGAUGAACGCUGGCGGCGUGCUUAACACAUGCAAGUCGAACGAUCCUUCGGGAUAGUGGCGGACGGGUGAGUAACGCGUGGGAAUCUGCCCUCAGGAGGGGGAUAACGGCUGGAAACGGCCGCUAAUACCCCAUAUGCCGAGAGGUGAAAUGAAUUUCGCCUGAGGAUGAGCCCGCGUCUGAUUAGCUAGUUGGUGGGGUAAGGGCCUACCAAGGCAACGAUCAGUAGCUGGUCUGAGAGGAUGAUCAGCCACACUGGGACUGAGACACGGCCCAGACUCCUACGGGAGGCAGCAGUGGGGAAUUUUCCGCAAUGGGCGAAAGCCUGACGGAGCAACGCCGCGUGAGGGAUGAAGGCCUCUGGGCUGUAAACCUCUUUUCUCAAGGAAGAAGACCUGACGGUACUUGAGGAAUAAGCCACGGCUAAUUCCGUGCCAGCAGCCGCGGUAAUACGGGAGUGGCAAGCGUUAUCCGGAAUUAUUGGGCGUAAAGCGUCCGCAGGCGGCCUUGUAAGUCUGUUGUUAAAGCGUGGAGCUCAACUCCAUUUAAGCAAUGGAAACUACAAGGCUGGAGUGUGGUAGGGGCAGAGGGAAUUCCCGGUGUAGCGGUGAAAUGCGUAGAUAUCGGGAAGAACACCAGUGGCGAAGGCGCUCUGCUGGGCCAUAACUGACGCUCAUGGACGAAAGCCAGGGGAGCGAAAGGGAUUAGAUACCCCUGUAGUCCUGGCCGUAAACGAUGAACACUAGGUGUCGGGGGAAUCGACCCCCUCGGUGUCGUAGCCAACGCGUUAAGUGUUCCGCCUGGGGAGUACGCACGCAAGUGUGAAACUCAAAGGAAUUGACGGGGGCCCGCACAAGCGGUGGAGUAUGUGGUUUAAUUCGAUGCAACGCGAAGAACCUUACCAGGGUUUGACAUCCUGCGAACCCCUGAGAAAUCGGGGGGUGCCUUCGGGAGCGCAGAGACAGGUGGUGCAUGGCUGUCGUCAGCUCGUGUCGUGAGAUGUUGGGUUAAGUCCCGCAACGAGCGCAACCCACGUCUUUAGUUGCCAGCAUUUAGUUGGGCACUCUAGAGAGACCGCCGGUGAUAAACCGGAGGAAGGUGUGGAUGACGUCAAGUCAUCAUGCCCCUUACAUCCUGGGCUACACACGUACUACAAUGCUACGGACAAAAGGCAGCAAGCUCGCGAGAGUUAGCAAAUCCCAUAAACCGUGGCUCAGUUCAGAUCGUAGGCUGCAACUCGCCUACGUGAAGGAGGAAUCGCUAGUAAUCGCAGGUCAGCAUACUGCGGUGAAUACGUUCCCGGGCCUUGUACACACCGCCCGUCACACCAUGGAAGUUGGCCAUGCCCGAAGUCGUUACUCCAACCCUUGUGGAGGAGGACGCCGAAGGUGGGGCUGAUGACUGGGGUGAAGUCGUAACAAGGUA